rnacentral:rRNA from 1 species
UAACGCGUGAGGAACCUGCCUCAAAGAGGGGGACAACAGUUGGAAACGACUGCUAAUACCGCAUAAGCCCACGGCUCGGCAUCGAGCAGAGGGGAAAGGAGCAAUCUGCUUUGAGAUGGCCUCGCGUCCGAUUAGCUAGUUGGUGAGGUAAUGGCCCACCAAGGCGACGAUCGGUAGCCGGACUGAGAGGUUGAACGGCCACAUUGGGACUGAGACACGGCCCAG